rnacentral:rRNA from 1 species
UCAAGUGACUAAGUGCAUGUGGCGGAUGCCUUGGCGAUCACAGGCGAAGAAAGACGCGGCAGCCUGCGAAAAGCUGCGGGGAGCUGGCAAACGAGCUUUGAUCCGCAGAUAUCUGAAUGGGGGAACCCACACCGCAAGGUGUAUCCGUAGCUCAAUACAUAGGUUACGGAGGCGAACGAGGAGAACUGAAACAUCUAAGUAUCCUCAGGAAAAGAAAUCAACCGAGAUUCCGGCAGUAGCGGCGAGCGAACCCGGAGGAGCCCAGCUUUUGAUAGUACGAACUUUAGCCGAAAGGUCCUGGAAAGGCCUGCUAUAGUGGGUGAUAGCCCCGUAGGCGAAAGAGUUGGUACGGUACUAAGGAAGCGAGAAGUAGAGCGGGACACGUGGAAUCCUGUUCGAAGACGGGGGGACCAUCCUCCAAGGCUAAAUACUCGUGAUCGACCGAUAGUGAACCAGUACCGUGAGGGAAAGGCGAAAAGAACCCCGGGAGGGGAGUGAAAUAGAACCUGAAACCGCAUGCAUACAAACAGUAGGAGCCUCGUCAGAGGUGACUGCGUACCUUUUGCAUAAUGGGUCAGCGACUUACAUUCUGUGGCGAGCUUAACCGAAUAGGGGAGGCGCAGCGAAAGCGAGUUCGAAAUGAGCGUCCAGUCGCAGGGUGUAGACCCGAAACCAGAUGAGCUAUCCAUGGCCAGGUUGAAGGUGUGGUAACACACACUGGAGGACCGAACCGACUAGUGUUGCAAAAUUAGCGGAUGAGCUGUGGAUAGGGGUGAAAGGCCAAACAAAUCUGGAGAUAGCUGGUUCUCCCCGAAAACUAUUGAGGUAGUGCCUCGUGUGUCGCUCCAGGGGGUAGAGCACUGUUUUGGCUAGGGGGACAUGGAGUCUUACCAAACCAAGGCAAACUCCGAAUACCUGGAAGCGUAAGCACGGGAGACAGAGCACCGGGUGCUAACGUCCGGACUCAAAAGGGAAACAACCCAGACCGCCGGCUAAGGUCCCAAAUAACAGCUAAGUGGAAAACGAAGUGGAAAGGCCGUGACAACCAGGAAGUUGGCUUAGAAGCAGCCAUCCUUCAAAGAAAGCGUAAUAGCUCACUGGUCGAGUCCUUCUGCGCGGAAGAUGUAACGGGGCUAAGCUGUUAACCGAAGCCGCGGAUGCGCUGGUUAUCCAGUGCGUGGUAGGGGAGCGUUCUGUAAGUCUGCGAAGGCGGUUCGAGAGGACUGUUGGAGAUAUCAGAAGUGCGAAUGCUGACAUGAGUAACGUUAAAGCAGGUGAAAAGCCUGCUCGCCGUAAGCCCAAGGAUUCCUGCUCUACGUUCAUCGGAGCAGGGUGAGUCGGCUCCUAAGGUCAGGCCGAAAGGCGUAGCCGAUGGGAAUCAGGUUAAUAUUCCUGAACCUGCGUCAGAUGCGAUGGGGGGACGGAGCAUGGAAGAUCAUCCGGGUGUUGGAAGUCCCGGUUGUUUAGCGUAGGAGGUCUGCAGGCAAAUCCGCAGACGCAUCUCCAAGGCAAAGACACGUGCCGCCACGGCGGCGAAGUGAUCGGAAGUGCUUCCAAGAAAAGCCUCUAAGCCCCAGUCUGACGCGGACCGUACCGCAAACCGACACUGGUGGGCGAGCUGAAUAUGCUCAGGCGCUUGAGAGAACUCGGGAGAAGGAACUCGGCAAAUUGACACCGUAACUUCGGAAGAAGGUGUGCCGUAGUACCGUGAGAGGAGAGACACCUUGAGCGGGAAACGGUCUCAGAGAAUAGGUGGCUGCGACUGUUUAUUAAAAACACAGCACUCUGCAAAGUCGAAAGACGACGUAUAGGGUGUGAUGCCUGCCCGGUGCUGGAAGAUUAAUUGAUGGGGUGAGAGCCCUUGAUCGAAGUCCCAGUAAACGGCGGCCGUAACUAUAACGGUCCUAAGGUAGCGAAAUUCCUUGUC